rnacentral:rRNA from 1 species
AGAGUUUGAUCCUGGCUCAGAUUGAACGCUGGCGGCAGGCUUAACACAUGCAAGUCGAGCGGUUUGGUUAGCUUGCUAACCAGAUAGCGGCGAACGGGUGAGGAAUGCUUGGGAAUCUGCCUAGUAGUGGGGGAUAACGUUUCGAAAGGAACGCUAAUACCGCAUACGCCCUACGGGGGAAAGGGGGGGAUCUUCGGACCUCUCGCUAUUAGAUGAGCCCAAGUCGGAUUAGCUAGUUGGUGAGGUAAAGGCUCACCAAGGCGACGAUCCGUAGCUGGUCUGAGAGGAUGAUCAGCCACACUGGAACUGAGACACGGUCCAGACUCCUACGGGAGGCAGCAGUGGGGAAUAUUGGACAAUGGGCGAAAGCCUGAUCCAGCCAUGCCGCGUGUGUGAAGAAGGCCUUCGGGUUGUAAAGCACUUUAAGCGAGGAGGAAUGGCUCUGGGUUAAUACCCUUGAGCAGUGACGUUACUCGCAGAAUAAGCACCGGCUAACUCUGUGCCAGCAGCCGCGGUAAUACAGAGGGUGCAAGCGUUAAUCGGAAUUACUGGGCGUAAAGCGCGCGUAGGCGGUUACGUAAGUUGGAUGUGAAAUCCCCGGGCUCAACCUGGGAAUUGCAUUCAAAACUGCGUGGCUAGAGUGUGGGAGAGGAAGGUAGAAUUCCAGGUGUAGCGGUGAAAUGCGUAGAUAUCUGGAGGAAUACCGAUGGCGAAGGCAGCCUUCUGGCCUAACACUGACGCUGAGGUGCGAAAGCAUGGGGAGCAAACAGGAUUAGAUACCCUGGUAGUCCAUGCCGUAAACGAUGUCUACUAGCCGUUGGGGGACUUGAUCCUUUAGUGGCGCAGCUAACGCAUUAAGUAGACCGCCUGGGGAGUACGGUCGCAAGACUAAAACUCAAAUGAAUUGACGGGGGCCCGCACAAGCGGUGGAGCAUGUGGUUUAAUUCGAUGCAACGCGAAGAACCUUACCUGGCCUUGACAUGUCUGGAAUCCUGUAGAGAUACGGGAGUGCCUUCGGGAAUCAGAACACAGGUGCUGCAUGGCUGUCGUCAGCUCGUGUCGUGAGAUGUUGGGUUAAGUCCCGCAACGAGCGCAACCCUUGUCCUUAGUUGCCAGCACGUAAUGGUGGGGACUCUAGGGAGACUGCCGGUGACAAACCGGAGGAAGGCGGGGACGACGUCAAGUCAUCAUGGCCCUACGGCCAGGGCUACACACGUGCUACAAUGGUCGGUACAAAGGGUUGCCAACUCGCGAGAGUGCGCUAAUCCCAAAAAGCCGAUCGUAGUCCGGAUUGGAGUCUGCAACUCGACUCCAUGAAGUCGGAAUCGCUAGUAAUCGCGGAUCAGAAUGCCGCGGUGAAUACGUUCCCGGGCCUUGUACACACCGCCCGUCACACCAUGGGAGUUUGUUGCACCAGAAGUAGGUAGCUUAACCGCAAGGAGGGCGCUUACCACGGUGUGGCCAAUGACUGGGGUGAAGUCGUAACAAGGUAGCCGUAGGGGAACCUGCGGCUGGAUCAC